rnacentral:lncRNA from 1 species
GUGAAUUCAUUUUGUGUUCCCAAGCUGGAUUUGCUUGAGGGGGCUUGUGAUUUUCUGCACAUUCAACCAAGUUGAAGUAAAAGGUUCAUAUGGGAGGGUCAAUCAGCUUAGAUGCUCUAUGGUUUUGGGCAUGAGAAGAAAGAACAGGAGAGGUGUCACAAUUCAAAUUAAUUUCCUCAUUCAUAUUCAGGAGAUUAAGCCACCGACUCUUCUUUAAUGCAUUUUCUUUCUGUUAUCAGUGAAAAAUUUGAUGACUUUUAUGUUGUGUACUUAACCUGUAACUGGAUUCCAUGGUUUACGUUAUCAAUUUUCUUCUUGGUUCAUUUGUAC